rnacentral:rRNA from 1 species
AGUGAACGCUGGCGGUAGGCCUAACACAUGCAAGUCGAACGGCAGCACAGUAAGAGCUUGCUCUUACGGGUGGCGAGUGGCGGACGGGUGAGGAAUACAUCGGAAUCUACUUUUUCGUGGGGGAUAACGUAGGGAAACUUACGCUAAUACCGCAUACGACCUACGGGUGAAAGCAGGGGACCUUCGGGCCUUGUGCGAUUGAAUGAGCCGAUGUCGGAUUAGCUAGUUGGCGGGGUAAAGGCCCACCAAGGCGACGAUCCGUAGCUGGUCUGAGAGGAUGAUCAGCCACACUGGAACUGAGACACGGUCCAGACUCCUACGGGAGGCAGCAGUGGGGAAUAUUGGACAAUGGGCGCAAGCCUGAUCCAGCCAUACCGCGUGGGUGAAGAAGGCCUUCGGGUUGUAAAGCCCUUUUGUUGGGAAAGAAAUCCAGCCGGCUAAUACCUGGUUGGGAUGACGGUACCCAAAGAAUAAGCACCGGCUAACUUCGUGCCAGCCGCCGCCGUAAGAC